UACGAAGGGGGCUAGCGUUGUUCGGAAUUACUGGGCGUAAAGGGCGCGUAGGCUGUGCUGUAAGUCAGGCGUGAAAGCCCCGGGCUCAACCUGGGAAUUGCGCUUGAUACUGCGGCGCUGGAAGGUGGGAGAGGAUGGCGGAAUUCCCAGUGUAGAGGUGAAAUUCGUAGAUAUUGGGAAGAACACCCGUGGCUAAGGCGGCUCUCUAGUACGGUACUGACGCUGAGACGCGAAAGCGUGGGGAGCGAACAGG
rnacentral:rRNA from 1 species